rnacentral:rRNA from 1 species
CUUGGUCAUUUAGAGGAAGUAAAAGUCGUAACAAGGUUUCCGUAGGUGAACCUGCGGAAGGAUCAUUAUUUAAUCGAAGAACUGUUGUUGCGGUCGCUAAUCAGCACCGCACGCAGGUCGGCCCCGGACGGUUCAAAGCUGGAAUCCACCUCACAGGUUCAAAGGUUCCCGGCCGGAGUGAAGCCAACACCCCCCUCCAUAGGGGUGAUUGCACUUUAGCGACAGGUUGAGCAACUGGCCUGCUGAGAAUCCGCUGCCCAUGGGUGUCCGCUAUCUCUAUUCAUUACAUUCCCUCUGUGUAUCUACCCUUUGUUGCUUCCCGCCCAUGCCGUCAUGUGCCUGUGCCCUGAUAGCCGGGCGGGGAGGAGGUAUCAAACUCUGGUUGUUAUCAUUGUCAGUCUGAGUGGUCAACACACCAAAACAAGUUAAAACUUUCAACAACGGAUCUCUUGGUUCUCGCAUCGAUGAAGAACGCAGCGAAAUGCGAUAAGUAGUGUGAAUUGCAGAAUUCAGUGAAUCAUCGAAUCUUUGAACGCACAUUGCGCCUUCUGGUAAUCCGGGAGGCAUGCCUGUCCGAGCGUCAUAAAACAAACUUCUCAAGCAUUCGUGCUUGGUCAUGGAGUCGUGCCAGGGUUCCGCUGUGAAGUGGCCCUGCCCUCCGAAAUCUAUAGGCAGAAACCCGGGUCGUACUCAGGUGUGAUAACCAUGUUUUCACUUGAUGCGCCUUGGGUCUUGCGCCGUUCCAACCAGCCCCCCAGCUGCUCUUUCAAGUUUGACCUCGGAUCAGGUAGGGAUACCCGCUGAACUUAAGCAUAUCAAUAAGCGGAGGAAAAGAAACCAACAGGGAUUGCCUUAGUAACUGCGAGUGAAGCGGCAAAAGCUCAAAUUUGAAAUCUGGUACCUUUGGGUGCCCGAGUUGUAAUUUGGAGAGGCAACUUCGGAGGGGGCGCCGGCCUAAGUUCCUUGGAACAGGACGUCACAGAGGGUGAGAAUCCCGUGCGUGGCUGGCUGUCCUCCUUCAUGUGAAGUGUCUUCGACGAGUCGAGUUGUUUGGGAAUGCAGCUCAAAAUGGGUGGUAAACUUCAUCUAAGGCUAAAUACUGGCGAGAGACCGAUAGCGCACAAGUAGAGUGAUCGAAAGAUGAAAAGCACUUUGAAAAGAGAGUUAAACAGUACGUGAAAUUGUUGAAAGGGAAGCGCUUGAGACCAGACUCGGUGAUUGGUGAUCAGCGGUAGCUUUUGCUCCGUGCACUUGCCUUUUACCGGGCCAGCAUCAGUUGCGACGGCGGGAUAAAGACCCAGGGAACGUGGCUCUCUUCGGGGAGUGUUAUAGCCUUGGGUGUAAUGCCGCCUGUUGCGACUGAGGACCGCGCUUCGGCUAGGAUGCUGGCAUAAUGGUCUUCAGCGACCCGUCUUGAAACACGGACC